rnacentral:rRNA from 1 species
CCCUAUGGGGUGCAGCAGGAAAUUGCCGACCAGCUUACAGUUGCGGUACGUACAAGGACAAGGGCCAGGGCAUUUGUUCAGCAGCAAUCGACUUUCGGACAGAGACGAAUGGGGAUGCCGGUGCAGUAUGUACUUCAGGCCACAUCGAUUGAGAAAUUAAGGGAAGUGAUACCUGAAUUUAUGAGGAAGGUAAGUGAAAACGACGUACUCCAGAUGGCCGAUGUGAACCUUAAAUUCACAAAACCUGAACUCAGAAUUCACAUAAACAGGGAUAAGGCAAUAACGCUUGGAGUAUCAACACAGAGUAUCGGGCAGACACUGCAGCUCGCACUCAGUGGCCAGCGUUUCGGAUAUUUUUUCAUGAACGGGAAACAGUAUCAGAUACUGGGAGAGC